UGAACGCUGGCGGCGUGCCUAACACAUGCAAGUCGAACGAAACUGAUUUCAUGAAACUUCGGUAGAUUGGAUGAAAGUUGAGUGGCGGACGGGUGAGUAACACGUGGGCAACCUGCCUCACAGAGGGGGAUAGCAGUUGGAAACGACUGAUAAUACCGCAUAAGCACACAGUACCGCAUGGUACAGGGUGAAAAGAUUUAUCACUGUGAGAUGGACCCGCGUCUGAUUAGCCAGUUGGCAGGGUAACGGCCUACCAAAGCGACGAUCAGUAGCCGACCUGAGAGGGUGACCGGCCACAUUGGGACUGAGACACGGCCCAAACUCCUACGGGAGGCAGCAGUGGGGGAUAUUGCACAAUGGAGGAAACUCUGAUGCAGCGACGCCGCGUGAGUGAAGAAGUAUUUCGGUAUGUAAAGCUCUAUCAGCAGGGAAGAUAAUGACAGUACCUGACCAAGAAGCCCCGGCUAACUACGUG
rnacentral:rRNA from 1 species